rnacentral:rRNA from 1 species
GAUGAACGCUGGCGGCGUGCCUAAUACAUGCAAGUCGAGCGAACGGACGAGAAGCUUGCUUCUCUGAUGUUAGCGGCGGACGGGUGAGUAACACGUGGAUAACCUACCUAUAAGACUGGGAUAACUUCGGGAAACCGGAGCUAAUACCGGAUAAUAUUUUGAACCGCAUGGUUCAAAAGUGAAAGACGGUCUUGCUGUCACUUAUAGAUGGAUCCGCGCUGCAUUAGCUAGUUGGUAAGGUAACGGCUUACCAAGGCAACGAUGCAUAGCCGACCUGAGAGGGUGAUCGGCCACACUGGAACUGAGACACGGUCCAGACUCCUACGGGAGGCAGCAGUAGGGAAUCUUCCGCAAUGGGCGAAAGCCUGACGGAGCAACGCCGCGUGAGUGAUGAAGGUCUUCGGAUCGUAAAACUCUGUUAUUAGGGAAGAACAUAUGUGUAAGUAACUGGGCACAUCUUGACGGUACCUAAUCAGAAAGCCACGGCUAACUACGUGC